GGCAAGAUACUUUGGAUUUCUGUCCUCCAUGAUCUGCCAUGUGGCUGGCACUGAAUCCAGCUCUAUUUCAUCUCCAUAAUGUUGAUAGGGCCAGCUGGCUGGCAGAUCACACAACUGCCUUUGUGGACCCGUGGCCUGGAUUGCAGAUGGACAAGAAGUGAAGCAUCUGAGCAAUGCAGAGAGACACUGGGCCUCAGAGACACUUCAGCCACUGGCGACAUGAUUCCUCACCCAUCUGCUCUUCGACACAGCUGCUGGGGGUGCUACUGCCAUGGCGUCAGCCAUUUGGCAGCUGAGCACAGAGUCUUGGAAAGAACGACAACCUUUGCAAUUGUCUGGUAGUCCUAGCCAUGCUGUACCCCUGAGCUUUUAACUUGAAUAUCACUUGUGGGUAAAACAAAGGACAAGCAUGCUCAAGUCAUGUCAGAAACUGAGCCUCCAAGUAGUGUUGAUGCUUUACUUAGAUUUAACACCUUGGACUUGAAUCUAGAGUCUUUUGUUCCUUAAAGAAAGUAUGAAAGUAGUUUCUUUUUCACCUGCAGGAGUACAAACAAAAUUACAAAUAGAGAAGCAAGCUGGUGAUGUUUGUAUUCUGGUUUGUAUUCCUUGGUGAUUUUUAACUAAGGCAAAUAAUAUGGAAUGAUUUGUAGCACUUUGAGACUGAUUUAAGUUAUAAUGUCUGUGAAUCUGUAAUAGAAAUAAACUAAAUUGAAAAAGAAAAGUAAUGAUUAUCAUUUGUCUUUUAUUUUCUUAGACCUACCAAAGCUAUCCCUCUCUUUUGGAAAAAACAAAACAAAGCAUGUAUUGAAUCCCUGCUAAUAUUUUGGAACUGAAUUAUUGCAUUUGGGAGAAAAGCAUUAUAUUAUUUUAUUUUUUCAUCUUUGCCAGCAAUGGUAACUUGCUCCUUGACAGUGUGUCUUAAAAAGAAAUAUCCACAG
rnacentral:lncRNA from 1 species